rnacentral:rRNA from 1 species
GAAACUAACAAGGAUUCCCCUAGUAACGGCGAGUGAAGCGGGAAAAGCUCAAAUUUGUAAUCUGGCGCCUUUGGCGUCCGAGUUGUAAUCUCGAGAAGUAUUUUCCGCGCUGGACCGCACAUAAGUCUGUUGGAAUACAGCGUCAUAGUGGUGAGAACCCCGUAUAUGGUGCGGAUGCCCAGUGCUUUGUGAUAUACUUUCGAAGAGUCGAGUUGUUUGGGAAUGCAGCUCAAAUGGGGUGGUAAAUUCCAUCUAAAGCUAAAUAUUGGCGAGAGACCGAUAGCGAACAAGUACCGUGAGGGAAAGAUGAAAAGCACUUUGGAAAGAGAGUUAACAGUACGUGAAAUUGUUGGAAGGGAAACGCUUGAAGUCAGACUUGCAUUUUGGAGUUCAGCCGCAAGGUGUAUUCUCCAAUUCGCAGGCCAGCAUCAGUUUUCGGGGGUGGAAAAUCGCGGUUUGAAGGUAGCAGCCUCGGCUGUGUUAUAGCUUUCCGCUGGAUUCAUUUUUGGGGACUGAGGAACGCAGUACGCUUUUUGCAAGAUUUUAGAAUCUUUCGUACUUAGGAUGCUGGUGGAAUGGCUUUAAACGACCCGUCUUGAAACACGGACC